rnacentral:tRNA from 1 species
UGGUUAGAGUAGACGGCUCAUAACCGUCCGGUCGUUGGUUCGAGUCCAACAAAGUUCA